AAUAAACUUUUCCCAAUUUUAUGCAAAUCACCAGCGGCGACCGCUGGGCGAUGAACAAUCAUAUCGAGUGGUUCCCAUGACGAAUUUGAUGCUAUGCGACCCAAGGCUGGAGACUUUCUUCAGCAAAGAUGGCUGACAAAAAUACUAGGACGGAAGCAAAUGGACUCCUGAAACAACCAGCAAAUCAGGCAGUCGUCUUGUGAAACAGUGGAUGUAAAGAAUCUAGCUAGCAAAAGCAUUUACUGCAAAUUGAAUGUACAAUUUUGUAAGCUUGCCUUGCUUAUAUUUUCCAUGCAAUGCAGGUAGAUGAAAUAACGUAGCAAGCCAACUAUUACUUCUUGUGCAGUGGAGGAUAAAAAUACCUGUAUGCCAAUGGAUGUGUAGUUAGCUAUGUAGCCGAUCUGUGUAUGGACCCUAAAACGUUUGUUAUACAUAUUAGUUCAGAAUGUAGCUAUGAACCUCGGCAAUCAUAGCCAGUUGUAUCAACUUCAAAACAGUCGUCUGAAUGACAAUGAAGCUUAUUGGUUGAGUAGAUUAUAAUAUAACUUUGUGCCAAGGAUGCAAGUCGUAAAUACAUGUAGUUAUUACCAUGCAUGCGAUUCCCUACAUUGUAGCAUGUACAUUUAAUAUAUUCACUGAUCAUGUACUCUAUGUACUCAGGUAUGAAUGUCUGAGAUUAUUUUUCAGUCAUAUCCAAUACCAGGAGUAUCAAAUACCAGUCUUUGAAUGAUGUUGUGUCUGCAUGUAUAUAUUACAAUUAUACACUUCAACAGUGUUUACCAAUCUUGGUCCUCGGAAAUCAAUGGUUACACAUUGUAACUAUGCAAUAGACUAGAAACAUGACUUAACUAGUGAAAGGCUGAUUUGGAAUUCAUAUAUACAGAAAUAUAAUUUAAAAAAAACAGUACACUACACAUCCUAUGCAUCAUGUAAAUACUCUAAAACCAGUUCAUUUCGAUAUCUAAUUUCCUUAAUCUGCAUUGAUCUGAUAAACAAAGGAUAGGUGUAGUAUUUCAUCAAAUGAGAGACUUAAUUUCAACCAGUAGAGAAUGUGAAAUGCUUUAUUGGAAGUUCAUUAUCCAAGUGUUAUAAAUACAUGCAUUAUGAAUAUAUCUUUACUUCAAUGCUCACCUGUUGUGCAUUAUAAAAACAGAGGAAGAAAGAGGUGGCGAGAGAGGUGUAAAACAAAGGGAAAGAGGUAAGAACAUAGGAGCAGGGAAGGCAGCAUAUGAUUCAUGAGUCACAGUGCUACCCUAAUAUUCUCUCAGUUCAUCACAAUUACAUAAUAGUGUCUCUAGUGGUGUCUCCUAACCCGCCUUGGGCUCCCAGUCGGCCCGAAGGUUAUCUUAAGAGCGGGUGAGGUGGCGAUGACAGGACUGGGGGUUGGCGUCCUCUCUCACAUCAAAACAUACCUGCAGACGAGAGACCAAUGGAGAGAGAGAAUAAGCAUGUUUAAGCCUUGUGUUUAAAAAAAAAUAUUCUAACACUCAGUCAUCAUAAUUAUCAGGAGGUAAAAUGCAAAACUGACCUUGGAUCAUUAACUCUGGGACUACUGCUUCUCUAUCUGUAUUUCAAUGUCAAGCAUCUCUUUAAUAAUACUUCCUGUUGACCUGACCAAGUGACCUCUCACCUAUGGUCAUGCUGUUCCCUCUGUGUAGCCAGUUCAGAUGCGGGAGGGGUUCACCGACACAGCUGAUAUAACCUAAAGGAUUUAGGGAGAAGGGGAGAGAGGGAUGAAGUGAAAGAGAGAGACUGUUAUUGAGAAAAUAAGGUAGUUAAAGAGUGUUCAACAUGAAUCUGUGUGUCUGGCCUCAUCUGGUGUCUACACUAAGUGGCUGCAGAGUACUUUAUGCUGAAAAACAUGAACGGACACACAAGGACAAACAAUAUAGUGUCACAAAUGAAUACAUAAAUACCACUUGAAGCUUGAUGAGUUGACCAUUUGAAUCAGCUGUGCAGUGCUAAGGCAAAAACAAAAAUGUGCACACCUUUGAGUCCCUAGGACCAGGACUGAGAACCACUGCUCUUCAUUGGGACCUCUUCAUCUGUAGACAGGCUUUCGUAGCCUUCUUCAUUCGAGGACAGAAAACCUCGCAGAAACAGACUUCAUUAUACUCAAAUUACACUGCACUGAAUAUUAUGUUACUAUUAUCUAUGUUACAAGUUAUUAUUAUUAUGUUGCUAUUAUCUAUGUUACAAGUUGUUAUUAUUAUGUUACUAGUACCUACCCUAUCCAGAGUAGCCUUUGAAAGUUGGAACUACUAAUGUUGAUGUUAUCCUUUCACCCUCCUCCAUGGCUGUUAGCUAGCUACCUACAAAUGCAUUUGGAGUUUGUUUUUACAGUGAUAAAUACAUCAAGAUAGCUAGCUAAUAUUUAGUUAGGUAGCUGGUGAUAUUUCAUUAACUUAGCUAUCUAUCUAUACAGUAUGUCAAGUUGGCUAGCUAGCUAAGUUACCUCAUUUAGCAGCUCAUUUGAGUUAGCCUGUACUGUAACGUUAGCUAGUUAGCUAAUUAUACAUAGUUUUUUUUACAUUUUCAAAAUGUUUGACUUACUUGAAUAGGUUCUCACAGCCAUGUGGACAAUUGGAAACAGGGCAGCAAAGUGUGUUUGUCAACAGAGCGUUUAAGAGCAUAUUACUAUUGAACUAUUUACCCAUUUAAUAACCAGACCUUCAUACAAACUUGCUAUGCUGAAUUAUUGAUGCACAAUUGAACAGGCUAGUAAACUCAGCAAAAAAAGAAACGUCAUCUCACUGUCAACUGCGUUUAUUUUCAGCAAACAUAACAUCUGUAAAUAUUUCUAUGAACAUAAAUGAAACAUAAAUGAGACAUAAACUGAACAAGUUCCACAGACAUGUGACUAACAAAUGGAAUAAUGUGUCCCUGAAUAAAGGGGGGGGGGGUUAAAAUCAAAAGUAAGUUGGUAUCUGGUGUGGCCACCAGCUGCAUUAAGUACUGCAGUGCACCUCCUCCUCAUGGACUGCACCAGAUUUGCCAGUUAUUGCUGUGAGAUGUUACCCCACUCUUCCACCAAGGCACCUGCAAGUUGACAAGUUCCUCCGAUCCAACAGGUCCCAGACGCGCUCAAUGGGAUUGAGAUCCGGGCUCUUCGCUGGCCAUGUGCAGAACACUGACAUUCCUGUCUUGCAGGAAAUCACGCACAGAACGAGCAGUAUGGCUGGUGGCAUUGUCAUGCUGGAGGGUCAUGUCAGGAUGAGCCUGCAGGAAGGGUACCACAUGAGGAAGGAGGAUGUCUUCCCUGUAAAGCACAGCGUUGAGAUUGCCUGCAAUGACAACAAGCUCAGUGACACACCGCCCCAGACCAUGACGGACCCUUCUCCUCCAAAUCGAUCCCGCUCCAGAGUACAGGCCUCGGUGUAACGCUCAUUCCUUCGACAAUAAACGCGAAUCCGACCAUCACCCUUGGUGAGACAAAACCGCGACUCGUCAGUGAAGAGCACUUCUUGCCAGUCCUGUCUGGUCCAGCGACGAUGGGUUUGUGCCCACAGGCGACGUUGUUGCCGGUGAGGUCUGUCUGGUGAGGACCUGCCUUACAACAGGCCUACAAGCCCUCAGUCCAGCCUCUCUCAGCCUAUUGCGGACAGUCUGAGCACUGAUUGUGUGCGUUCCUGGUGUAACUCAGGCAGUUGUUGUUGCCAUCCUGUACCUGUCCCGCAGGUGUGAUGUUCGGAUGUACCGAUCCUGUGCAGAUGUUGUUACACGUGGUCUGCCACUGCGAGGCCGAUCAGCUGUCCAUCCUGUCUCCCUGUAGCGCUGUCUCAGGCAUCUCACAGUACAGACAUUGCAAUUUAUUGCCCUGGCCACAUCUGCAGUCCUCAUGCCUCCUUGCAGUAUGCCUAAGGCACGUUUACGCAGAUGAGCAGGGACCCUGUGCUUCAUUCCUUUGGUGUUUUUCAGAGUUUAUAUAUCUAUAUGCGCCUUGCCAUAGAUUGGCAAGUCUCUGGAACUCUAUUGGAGGGAACCGCCACCAUUCUUCCACAAGAUAUUCCAUAAUUUGGUGUUUUGUUGAUGUUGGUGGAAAACACCAUCUCAGGCGCCACUCCAGAAUUUCCCACAAGUGUUCAAUUGGGAUGAGAUCUGGUGACACACACACGUGUAGAAACACCUGCUUUCAAUAUACUUUGUAUCCCUAAUUUACUCACGUGUUUCCAUUAUUUUGUCAGUUAACUGUAUGUGCUUAUA